rnacentral:rRNA from 1 species
AUUGAACGCUGGCGGCAGGCCUAACACAUGCAAGUCGAGCGGAUGAAGGGAGCUUGCUCCUGGAUUCAGCGGCGGACGGGUGAGUAAUGCCUAGGAAUCUGCCUGGUAGUGGGGGAUAACGUCCGGAAACGGGCGCUAAUACCGCAUACGUCCUGAGGGAGAAAGUGGGGGAUCUUCGGACCUCACGCUAUCAGAUGAGCCUAGGUCGGAUUAGCUAGUUGGUGGGGUAAAGGCCUACCAAGGCGACGAUCCGUAACUGGUCUGAGAGGAUGAUCAGGCACACUGGAACUGAGACACGGUCCGGACUCCUACGGGAGGCAGCAGUGGGGAAUAUUGGACAAUGGGCGAAAGCCUGAUCCAGCCAUGCCGCGUGUGUGAAGAAGGUCUUCGGAUUGUAAAGCACUUUAAGUUGGGAGGAAGGGCAGUAAGUUAAUACCUUGCUGUUUUGACGUUACCAACAGAAUAAGCACCGGCUAACUUCGUG